rnacentral:rRNA from 1 species
UACGUAGGGUGCAAGCGUUGUCCGGAAUUAUUGGGCGUAAAGAGCUCGUAGGCGGUUUGUCGCGUCUGCUCGGUGAAAACGCGAGGCUCAACCUCGCGCCUGCAGUGGGUACGGGCAGACUAGAGGUGCGGUAGGGGAGAUUGGAAUUCCUGGUGUAAGCGGUGGAAUGCGCAGAUAUCAGGAGGAACACCGAUGGCGAAGGCAGAUCGUCUGGGCCGUAACUGACGCUGAGGAGCGAAAGCGU